CAAAGCAAAAGAGAGGAAACUAGUAAGUGUCAUAUGCUAAAUGUCCAGGAAGUAAUUCAGGAAAAUUAUAUUCUCAGCUCAAAAUACAAGAAAUGUUCUCUUCCUUCUAGGUUCUUCACCAUAGUUUGGUGCCACCUGAUUUUGGGCAGGCUUGCUCCCCAGGACAAGCUGUAUCAAUCUUCUGCCAUGAGCUCACUAAGAAACAGUAGCAUAAUUUGAUUGUAAGAAAAGAAGCUGAGAAGAAACAAAAGUUACAGCUGGAAGUAUAAUGGGAAGUCCUGGGAGAGUGUAUUAGCCAAGAGCUGCAAGAUGUUCCCAGGAUGGCAGGAGCAGCCAUGCCAAGGAAAGUUACUUAUCUGGGAUCUGCCUUGGCUCAUCAAAGCAAACAAAUCUGGCUGCUGGACAAAGAGCGAGCAAGUUCUGCAGAACCUCAUCCCACCUUCCAAUACAGAAAGCAACAGCUGUGCUGCUCAAUUCCAGAAACAAGCUAAAGCAAAACAGCAUGGACUGUCUCUGGUUUAAAAAGAAGAGCUCCCUCAGUCAGCAGCAAGAAAUCCAGCUUACCUGAAGCAGCGUUUCUGAUCUCCAGAUCUCCU